rnacentral:tRNA from 2 species
GGACAGGUGCUCGAGUGGUUGAAGAGGAACGCCUGGAACGCGUUUAGGCGGUUUACGCCGUCUCGAGGGUUCGAAUCCCUCCCUGUCCG